CUGACCUAAAUAUGUCGCAGUAAAUGUUUAAGUGCAUGUUCUUUGCAAUUAUUACAGCGGAUACAGCAACAAAGGGUACUGCCUUCCUGCAUGUUAAUAAUCAGGAAUGGCUGAGGUUUCAGGUAGAACUAUUAAAUCCACAGGUGAAGGAGGAGAGGGCAGUGAGAAUUCAUCUGCCGAUGGAUCAAUAUACUGCCUCCCAUGCACACAAGACGGCACAAAGAUUUCGGCCGAAGGGUUUUGCAAGAACUGUAAGGAACAUUUAUGCUCUUCGUGUAUUAUGUACCACAAGAAAUUCGGGAUCACUAAGAAACAUUCAAUACUUGAUAAAGCACAAAUGCCCUCUACAACUUACAAAUCAGUCGACGGCGUGCAAUGCAGCGAACUAUGCCCUUACCACCCGAUGGAAGUUAUUAAAUAUUACUGCCCGACUCAAAACACAGUUCACUGCGGAGAUUGUGUUGCUUUUGAUCACCAAGGUCGCAAGUUUGCGUAUAUCCCUGAUGUAGCGAGGAAAUACGUAGAAAGUGAGGAAUUUAGUGAACUUAAAAACCAUGAUGUUGAUAAGGAAUUUACAAACUGUGUAACUGAAAUAGAGAAAUGUUUAAACGAGACUGAAGAAGCAGGCCAAUCCGAGCUUCAACAGAUUAGACAUGUCCGAGAUGAACUAAAUGCACACAUUACCAAACAGGAACAUGAACCUAAAAUAACAUUGAAUCAAAUAAAGGAAAGCCAGAAACAGUUCCUGAAUGACAGGAUGGCAUGUGUACAUGCAAAGAAAUCAGAAUUAGGGACGGAAACUGUUAACUUGUUGAAUAGUGAUGACGACAUCGCUAAGCUUUUCAUCAAAGGAAAGCAGUUUGAAGGAUUGUUAGCUGCCUGUAAAACAGCACUCGCUGACAUCAAAGAAGGUAGCGCACGUGGUUUAUAUCGCUUUCAGAGAAACCCUUUGAUAGACAAGCUCAUUCAGUCUACUGGGGCUCUUAAUGUUAUUGUGGAAGAAGGUUCUUCGAAAGAAAAAAACAUAAACAAGGGGAAAGGAUCAUUUUAAUAAGUUUAACCAGGUUUUCACAAAGUUUAACCUGGUUAUAUGAAUGGCAUGCGUCGUUGUACGGGCGGGCCGGUGAGAGGGCGGCGUCAAACUUUCCUAUGGUAUCGAAUAAAAUUAGUUAGGUUUGACAUACAGUGACCAAACGUGGUAUAUGGGAAGAGUUUAAGGAGCCCUUUUAUCGGAUUGCAUUUGGAGCCCCAAAGGGUCAAGGUUUACAAAUGGUGAGAUCAUCAGCUGCUAAAUCCUUUGACAUACUGCGGAAAGAAAUAAAACCAUUGGGAAAGAUUCCAUUGCCGCCUCAAUUACGGCGUACUCUUAUAGCAUCAUGUAUAACUGUCCUGUCCGAUGAGCGUCUGCUUAUUACCAAUAAUGGAGGUUUGUCAGUAACGAUGCUGGACACCAAAAGCAAUUUGCUGCUCUCGAGCUUGGCGCUUUCGAGCGAACCGUGGGAUUUUUGUCUUGUGUCGCGCGACAAGGGUGUCGUCACCAUGCCAUAUGAGACUAAGAAUAUGCAGUUCAUAUACAUCGGAGAUACCGAGCUUUCUCUUGAUUACAGUAUUAGUGUAUCAGGUAAUUGUUAUGGCGUAGAUUGUUUUGAAAAUAAAUUGUACGUAUGUUACGGUCAACAGAAGAAAAUUGAAGCCAUGACAAUGGAUGGUAAAGUCAUCCAUGAAGUAAGCAAUAAUACAACUGGAAAAUAUAUAUUCAACAGAUUGAAGUAUAUCAAAGUCCAGGCAACAGAAAGCUCUAACUUCAUAUAUGCAUCAGAUGCUGGACGAUUUACAAUAACACAAUUAAAUCUGAGUCUGCAAAUACUCAAAAACCUUGAAAACCCAAAGCUUGAAUGUCCUUUUGGAUUAGAAGUCGUUGAUUCUACUCAACUGCUAGUCUGUGGAAAGAACAGUGGCGUCGUUUUUGUGCUGAAUACUUCAAAUGGCGCAAUAACCAGGCUGCUUGGGAUACAUAACCCAGCUAGUGUUUGCUUUUGCCGAGACAUUGAGAAAUUGUACGUUGGUGUGGCAAAUAAAGAUGUAGCAAAUGACAUCUUGAAAUUUGAUAUUAAAUAGAAGCAAUUGGUAACGAUGAGAAGAUACAAUUGUUUAUCAUUUAUCUAAACAAGUAUACCUUUUGCAGCCGUUUCGCCAUAUUUUCAAAUUAAAAAGGUAUGUUCUCAAUGAAAAUGUAAAGAAACUUCGAAAACACAAGCACAUUACAAAACGUAGACAAGGAUUAAGACGUUUCCAAUCUUUCUGUACUUGUAAUGAGGCUUAUCGGUUUAACUUUGAAUAAGUGUUUGGUUGGUCGCCGAAAAUCCGACUGAACCCUCUAGUAAACACUGAUUGUUUUGGUAACGUCAACAUUUAUGCAAUACAAUGCGAUGCAGUGUAUCACUGGUAGAAUGUAUGUUAUGGUAUGAUCCUUGUGCAUUUCAACAAGCGAAUGGUUACAUGUUUUGCUUCUUGCUUUUUCCAGAUUUUAUAAAUCAUUUAUUGUAAUGACGUUUAUUAUUGGUAUUUGUCCCUGACCUGAAGUAGUUAUUACAUUGUUUGAUUUUUAACUCUUUUUGAACAGAAAUACUUAGACGUUGUAAAGAUCACAGUUAGAACGUGGCUGACCAAAGCCAAACUAUAAAACGUUUCAAUAUUUAUGCCUCACUUCGAAGAAGAGGGGUAUAUUGCUUUGCACAUGUCGGUCGGUCGGUCGGUAGGUCGGCCGGUCGGUCGGUCGGUAGUCCAAAGCUUGUCCGAGUGAUAACUCGACAAUUCCUGGACGUAUGGUCAUCAAACUAGACAUGAAGGUAAGGCCUGACCAGUAGAUGAUCCCUAUUGAUUAUAGGGCUCAUCGGGUCAGAGGUCAAGGUCACAGUGACCUUUUAAUAGAAAAAUAAUUUUAAAGCUUGCCCGAAUGAUAACUCAACAAUGCCUAGACCUAUGGUCAUCAAACUUGAUAUGGAAGUUGGGCCUGACCAGUAGAUAACCCCUAUUGUGAGGGGUCAUCGGGCCAAAGGUCAAGGUAACAGUGACCUUGAAUGGUAAAAGAUUGUCCGAGUGAUAACUCGACAAUGCCUGCACCCAUGGCCAUCAAACUUGACUUGGAGUUUUGGCCUGACCAGUCUAUGGCUCCUAUUGAUUUUAGGGGUCGUCGGGUCAAGGUCACAGUGACUUUCAACGAUAAAAGGUUGUCCGAGUGAUAACUCAACAAUGUCUGCACCCAUGGCCCUUAAACUUGACUUGGAUGUUGGGCCUGACCUGACCCCUAUUGAUUUUAGGGGUCAAAGGUCAAGGUCACAGUGACCUUGAAAGCAAACUCGACAAUUCCUGGACCUAUGGUCAUCAAACUUGACAUGAAGGUUGGGCCUAACCAGUAGAUGACCCCUCUUGACUCUAGGGGUCAUCGGGCCAUGGUCAAGGUCACAGUUACCUUUAACGCAAAAAAGUUUACAAAUCUUCUCCCAGUGAUAUCUCAACAAUGCCUUAACCUUUGAUCAUCAAACUUGGUAUGGAAGUUGGGCCUGACCAGGAGAUGACCCUCAUUGAUUAUAGGAGACAUUGGGUGAAAUAUCAAGGUCACAGUGACCUUGAAUGCGAAAACGUUUCAAGUGAUAAUUCGACAAUGCCUGCACCCAUGGCCCUCAAGCUUGACUUGGAGUUGUGUCUGACCUGUAGAUGACCCUGUAUGAUUUUUGGGGUCUUCGGGUCAAAGGUCGAGGGUACAGUGACCUUGAACGAAAAAAGCUUGUCAGUGUGAUAACUUGUCAAUGCCUGCGCCCAUGGCCCUCAAACUUGACAUUUAGAUUUUUGGUGACCAGCUGAUGACUCCUAUGGAUUAUGAGGUCAUAGAGUCAAAGGUCAUGGUCAUAACACACUCUUUCCUCAAACUUUGAAUGGUUAUAAUCUUAAAAAUGCCUCAACAGCAUCCAAUGUCUGUGACAAAUCAGUUAUCAUUUGGGUCCAUGCAUAUUUCAUUCAAUUGUCUAUAUAAUCCUGAUAAC